rnacentral:sRNA from 1 species
AGCAGCCGCGGUAAUUCCAGCUCCAAUAGCGUAUAUUAAAGUUGUUGCAGUUAAAAAGCUCGUAGUUGAAUUUCGGGGUUCUACCGUUGGUCGGGCUAUAGUCUGUACUGGCGUGUGGAAUUUCUACCUUCUGGGAAACUAUCAUGUUAUUAAUUUAGCGUGGUAGGAAACCAGAACCUUUACCUUGAAAAAUUAGAGUGUUCAAAGCAGGCUUACGUCUGAAUACAUUAGCAUGGAAUAAUAAAAUAGGACGGUGGUCCUGUUUUGUUGGUUUCUGAAUCACCGUAAUGAUUAAUAGGGAUAGUUGGGGGCAUUAGUAUUCAAUUGUCAGAGGUGAAAUUCUUGGAUUUAUUGAAGACUAACUUCUGCGAAAGCAUUUGCCAAGGAUGUUUUCAUUAAUCAAGAACGAAAGUUAGGGGAUCGAAGACGAUCAGAUACCGUCGUAGUCUUAAC